AUGCUAAUACCGAAUAAAACUUAGUAUCGCAUGAUAUCAAGUUAAAAGGCGCUACGGCGUCACCUAGAGAUGGAUCCGCGGUGCAUUAGUUAGUUGGUGGGGUAAAGGCUUACCAAGACGAUGAUGCAUAGCCGAGUUGAGAGACUGAUCGGCCACAUUGGGACUGAGACACGGCCCAAACUCCUACGGGAGGCUGCAGUAGGGAAUCUUCCACAAUGGGCGCAAGCCUGAUGGAGCAACGCCGCGUGUGUGAUGAAGGCUUUCGGGUCGUAAAGCACUGUUGUAUGGGAAGAAAUGCUAAAAUAGGGAAUGAUUUUAGUUUGACGGUACCAUACCAGAAAGGGACGGCUAAAUACGUGCCAGCAGCCGCGGUAAUACGUAUGUCCCGAGCGUUAUCCGGAUUUAUUGGGCGUAAAGCGAGCGCAGACGGUUGAUUAAGUCUGAUGUGAAAGCCCGGAGCUCAACUCCGGAAUGGCAUUGGAAACUGGUUAACUUGAGUGUUGUAGAGGUAAGUGGAACUCCAUGUGUAGCGGUGGAAUGCGUAGAUAUAUGGAAGAACACCAGUGGCGAAGGCGGCUUACUGGACAACAACUGACGUUGAGGCUCGAAAGUGUGGGUAGCAAACAGGAUUAGAUACCCUGGUAGUCCACACCGUAAACGAUGAAUACUAGGUGUUAGGAGGUUUCCGCCUCUUAGUGCCGAAGCUAACGCAUUAAGUAUUCCGCCUGGGGAGUACGACCGCAAGGUUGAAACUCAAAGGAAUUGACGGGGACCCGCACAAGCGGUGGAGCAUGUGGUUUAAUUCGAAGCAACGCGAAGAACCUUACCAGGUCUUGACAUCCUUUGAAGCUUUUAGAGAUAGAAGUGUUCUCUUCGGAGACAAAGUGACAGGUGGUGCAUGGUCGUCGUCAGCUCGUGUCGUGAGAUGUUGGGUUAAGUCCCGCAACGAGCGCAACCCUUAUUGUUAGUUGCCAGCAUUCAGUUGGGCACUCUAGCGAGACUGCCGGUGACAAACCGGAGGAAGGCGGGGACGACGUCAGAUCAUCAUGCCCCUUAUGACCUGGGCUACACACGUGCUACAAUGGCGUAUACAACGAGUUGCCAACCUGCGAAGGUGAGCUAAUCUCUUAAAGUACGUCUCAGUUCGGACUGCAGUCUGCAACUCGACUGCACGAAGUCGGAAUCGCUAGUAAUCGCGGAUCAGCACGCCGCGGUGAAUACGUUCCCGGGUCUUGUACACACCGCCCGUCACACCAUGGGAGUUUGUAAUGCCCAAAGCCGGUGGCCUAA
rnacentral:rRNA from 1 species